rnacentral:sRNA from 1 species
AGCAGCCGCGGUAAUUCCAGCUCCAAUAGCGUAUAUUAAAGUUGCUGCAGUUAAAAAGCUCGUAGUUGAAUUUCGGGACUAAUAUGUCGGUCGUGCCUCGGUACGUACUGGUUUAUUGGUUUCUCCUUUCUGAAGAACCAUGAUGUCAUUUAUUUGGUGUCGUGGGGAAUCAGGACUGUUACUUUGAAAAAUUAGAGUGUUUAAAGCAGGCUCACGCUUGAAUACAUUAGCAUGGAAUAAUGAAAUAGGACGUUUGAUUCUAUUUUGUUGGUUUCUAGGAUCGACGUAAUGAUUAAUAGGGAUAGUUGGGGGCAUUAGUAUUCAAUUGUCAGAGGUGAAAUUCUUGGAUUUAUUGAAGACUAACUACUGCGAAAGCAUUUGCCAAGGAUGUUUUCAUUAAUCAAGAACGAAAGUUAGGGGAUCGAAGACGAUCAGAUACCGUCGUAGUCUUAACCAUAAACUAUGCCGACUAGGGAUCGGAUGAUGUUAAUUUUUAAUGACUCAUUCGGCGCCUUACGGG